UACGUAGGGGUGCGAGCGUUGUCCGGAAUUAUUGGGCGUAAAGGGCUCGUAGGCGGUUUGUCGCGUCGGGAGUGAAAACACCGGGCUUAACUCGGUGCUUGCUUUCGAUACGGGCAGACUAGAGGUAUGCAGGGGAGAACGGAAUUCCUGGUGUAGCGGUGAAAUGCGCAGAUAUCAGGAGGAACACCGGUGGCGAAGGCGGUUCUCUGGGCAUUACCUGACGCUGAGGAGCGAAAGUGUGGGGAGCGAACAGG
rnacentral:rRNA from 1 species